rnacentral:rRNA from 1 species
UAGGGAAUCUUCCGCAAUGGGCGAAAGCCUGACGGAGCAACGCCGCGUGAGUGAUGAAGGUCUUCGGAUCGUAAAACUCUGUUAUUAGGGAAGAACAAAUGUGUAAGUAACUAUGCACGUCUUGACGGUACCUAAUCAGAAAGCCACGGCUAACUACGUGCCAGCAGCCGCGGUAAUACGUAGGUGGCAAGCGUUAUCCGGAAUUAUUGGGCGUAAAGCGCGCGUAGGCGGUUUUUUAAGUCUGAUGUGAAAGCCCACGGCUCAACCGUGGAGGGUCAUUGGAAACUGGAAAACUUGAGUGCAUAAGAGGAGAGUGGAAUUCCAUGUGUAGCGGUGAAAUGCGCAGAGAUAUGGAGGAACACCAGUGGCGAAGGCGACUUUCUGGUCUGUAACUGACGCUGAUGUGCGAAAGCGUGGGGAUCAAACAGG